UACGUAGGGGGCGAGCGUUGUCCGGAUUUACUGGGCGUAAAGCGCGCGCAGGCGGUUCGUUAAGUCCGUUGUGAAAGCUCCCGGCUCAACUGGGAGAGGUCUUCGGAAACUGGCGGACUCGAGGGAGGCAGAGGAAGGUGGAAUUCCCGGUGUAGUGGUGAAAUGCGUAGAGAUCGGGAGGAACACCAGUGGCGAAGGCGGCCUUCUGGGCCUUUCCUGACGCUGAGGCGCGAAAGCGUGGGGAGCGAACCGGG
rnacentral:rRNA from 1 species